rnacentral:pre_miRNA from 1 species
GAGAUAAAGUUUGGAUGAUGAGUGUGCCUCUAGGCUUCCUCAGAGGGUCUAACCACUCCUAACCAUUUAGACCAUCUGAAGAAGCCUAGAGGCACACUCAUCAUCCAAACUUUAUC